rnacentral:rRNA from 1 species
CCUACGGGAGGCUGCAGUGGGGAAUAUUGGGCAAUGGACGCAAGUCUGACCCAGCAACGCCGCGUGAGCGAUGAAGUAUUUCGGUAUGUAAAGCUCUAUCAGCAGGGAAGAAAAUGACGGUACCUGACUAAGAAGCCCAGGCUAACUACGUGCCAGGAGCCGCGGUAAUACGUAGGGGGCAAGCGUUAUCCGGAUUUACUGGGUGGAAAGGGAGCGGAGACGGCUGUGCAAGUCUGGAGUGAAAGGCAUGGGCUCAACCUGUGGACUGCUUUGGAAACUGGGCGGCUAGAGGGUCGGAGAGGCAAGUGGAAUUCCGAGUGUAGCGGUGAAAUGCGUAGAGAUUAGGAGGAACGCCAGUGGCGAAGGCGGCUUGCUGGACGAUGACUGACGUUGAGGUGCGAAAGCGUGGGGAGCAAACAGGAUUAGAUACCCUAGUAGUC